ACGGGAGGCAGCAGUAGGGAAUAUUGCACAAUGGGGGGAACCCUGAUGUAGCAACGCCACGUGUGGGAAGAAGCAUUUCGGUGUGUAACCACUGUCGUGAGGGAAUAAUGCUCGCUCCCGGGCGAGUUGAAUGUACCUCGAAAGGAAGCACCGGCAAACUUCGUGCCAGCAGCCGCGGUAAUACGAGGGGUGCAAGCGUUGUUCGGAAUCACUGGGCGUAAAGGGAGCGUAGGCGGAGGAGCAAGCAGUCUGUACAAUGCCGGGGCCCAACCCCGGACCUGCAGACUGGACUGUUUCUCUUGGAUAGUUCAGGGGCUGGCGGAAUUCCUGGUGUAGCGGUGGAAUGCGUAGAGAUCAGGAAGAACACCGAUGGCGAAGGCAGCCAGCUGGGGACUCAUCGACGCUGAGGCUCGAAAGUGCGGGUAGCAAACAGGAUUAGAUACCCUGGUA
rnacentral:rRNA from 1 species